CAGAAAUUAAAUAUUUCUACAAGUUAUUUCAUGGCUCAUUGUUUUAUCCAGUUGCUAAUUUAUGCAGAUGUGUAGUUCAAAUCGCUAUAUAGGCUGCUUCAACGCUUUGCAACAACUGCUUCCCAGAUCGACUUGUGGAAAACAGUUGAGUUGAUUCCAAGAAAAGAAUGCACGAGAUCUGAGAAUGGUGAUACUGUUCUCACUCAGCAUCCUGACUGCAACAGCAGCCAUACAGUUUCUUUUGAGGCCACGUCUGUCUCACAGCCUUGAGCAUACUCUCAAGGAAGUUGAUGAACAACUACAUAUGACAUUUCCCCACCCUUCAAUGACUGAUAUCUGGAGGGGGUUUGUUUCUUAGUUUGGGGGCUUGCUUCGAUCCCAACCUGACCUUCCCUUUCUGGGUCAAAAACAGAAGGAACUGUUAGUGGUCCAUGUACGAGAAUGUAAGUCCGUACUGUGGCCUUAGUCCAUAGCCCAAGGCAAGGAAUGUGUGUUGCAAGAAGAUUUUUGGACUGGACGCCUGUUGUUACAUUUAAGAACCAUCAAGCUUAAAUCCUAACUGCUGUGCCAAAGGCUGGGGAAAAUGAAUGUGGUUGUCUUGACACAGAGAAGAAUAGUGAACUCUGCUGGCUGCAGCCAGUGUGAAUUGGUGGAUUGAUGAAACCAGUUUCCCUACAUAAGAUGAGAAAGGGAAUGUCUGCUUCCUGUUCUCGCUCUCAAUUUCUUUUCUUUUUCUAGUUUCAUUUUUCACCUGCACUCUUGUAUUUUAGUGGUCCUUGUAUUGCUAGCUUUUUUUGCUUGCCUUGUGUACGUGUAGGCCAUGUUUCUUAUUUCCCACUGAAGACCUUUGAACUUCAGGCUGGUUUUCUUUCUUUUUCAACUCCUUAAUCAAAAUCUUCUCUUUCUUUUUGCAGCCAGAUACGUGACAAGGUUUGUAGCCAGUACUGUUUAACCUUGGGUAGUACUGGAAAUAUUUUUUCUAUUUAUGCUGUUAGGUUCUGAUUAAAACUUACUGAUGCAUUCACCUUUGCCUAAAGUUGGAAACAGUUUGAACUUGUUAGUUUGAGAGAGAGAGUGACUGCUGCCGAGUACUUUUGUGGUUUCUGCGUUUGUAAUGUUAUGGCCUCUGUGGUACUUCACCCUCUGUAAAAUGACACUGGAUGCUUGGAUUUCAUCUAUUAUAAUGGAACUUCUUUAAACUAGAAGAGUAGGCUCUUUACCCUCCUUGCCUGUUCUGCUAUUUAGAAAGUUCUGGAUAGUACCAGCAGUUAUAUCUGGAGUUCCAGUACUGCUCUGAAGUUGAGUUCCUAGACUCUGAGUAUCAUCUCAUGGAGUCUUACAGGAUCCAACUUACUCUGUACUCAAGAAGCUCCUGUCGGUAAGUAGUAAGUCAGCACCGCUUCCUGAAGCAGAAUUAUUGAGAUGGUGACUGCUGCAAGGGAACCCACUAUGGUACUGCCUGAAGAGCUGUGCAGUGAGAAGUGCCUGCUCGGGAGGUUUGGGCUCAUCAGCUGUGAUGCCUUCUCCAGAGGAGUGGGAGAACAGUGGAGACACAUUAUAGUUCUCAAAGGUGUAUUUUCAUUCAAAGGCCUCUUCAUUCCCUUUUCAGAAAUCCACGUGUUGGCUUUACUUCCACCCAUUUCUCUUUCCUCAGGUGGGGAUGAGAAGUACAGAAAGGUUAAUCGAAUAUAUAAGAGUCAAAGAAGAGCUUUUUCUUCUCUUGAUUCAUCCACACAUGUUGCAGAGGGUCCUGUGGAGCUUCUGGUCAUUCUGAGGGCUUCAUAAACCAGGGAAAGUGGUUUCUUCUAAUUCCUCCAGUACUACUGCUUUACUUUGGAUUAGUCCUGGGUUUAGGUCGUCUUUUGGUCUAGGCAUUAGUUUUCCUGCUUUUUUCUGUUACCUAUGUCUCAUUUCAUGUGCUGGGGGGGGAAGAGUGCCUUUUACCCAGAAUUUUGCUGUUGCUUGAACAUGCUUGAGAAAAAUUAGAGGUUUGGGGAUUUGGGGGGGGAGGACCUUUUCCAUUGUUCUUUCAACUCUGUGCUCCCCUCUUCUAUCUGCAAAGGCAAAGGCUAUUCCAAUGAAGUACCACUGGGUGGUGGUUCUCCUGUAGGAGAACCAAAUGAACAACAACAAAAAAAUCCUUGUGUUAAAAUGAAAGUUCCUCUAUUUUGAUUUUUCCCAUCCUUCUUCUUCUGUUACUUGGCAUCACCGAGGAGAUUUUCGCUCCAAUUUCUUUACUCCCCCCACCAGGUCAUUAGUAUGCCCAGAGAACGUCCCCCUGAACUUUCUCCACUCCAGUAAAGAAACAGUCACAGCUCUCUCAGCCUCUCAACAUAGCUCAUGUGGUCGACAGCCUUCAGCAUCUUCAUGGCCAUUGUAGGCCUGGAAGCUGCAUGGUAUCUAUUUUGGAAUUCACUUCUGUGUGUCACAGACUUGACAGAAACAAUGUAGGAGUCACAAGUAUCAUCAAAUGUGAACGGCAGCAUAGAGCGCCUGGUCUAUGACUCUUCAAAGAUCUGAUUUCUUCUUAGGAAGACUUUGAAAUCAGAAUGAUUAGUGAGAAUAGCUUAGUUAUCCCCUAGAAUAACCACCUGCUAGGGGAGACAGGAUUAAGUGCUCCUGUCUAGUGAUCUGGGCUGACUUUUGUUGUGUAAUAAAACCCGCUUGCUAUGAGGAAGCUCUAGCUGUUGGGUUUUUUUCUUAGUACAGAUUUUGCAAGAAAAACUGGUGUCUCUAUAUUUUUAUAUAUGAGUGUCAUGGUAUUUGCAGUAACAAUAAAGAAAAGUCUUGGCCUGACCUGUAGGAGCUCUUUCCAUUUUCCAUCUUAAGAUGAAGAAAAGAAUACUAGCACAUGCUUUUUCCUAUACAAUGAUAUAUGUCGACCCUGCAGCAGCUGCUGUUGCACCUCUUCCCUUUGGAAGCUGCAGAAGCCAGCAUCAACUGAAAUGCUCCCUGUGGAUGGCACUUGUGCAUAUCUCAGCAUUUAGCUGACGGUCUGCACGUGUAUUGGAUGAUCAACUUUAGCUAUAUCCUCGUUGCAAUAACUCCACCGUGCUUUCUUGAUAUUUUUCAGUUGCCCAGUUAUAACCCAGCUAGUGAGUUACAGCUUGUUUUGCACUACUAUUACCAUUGAUGGCUCAGCAAUGAGAAUGCUACAGCCUGGCUGACUAAGAGUUUCUCUUCACUAAAAAUCAACCCCCCUACCAAGAUGUCUCUAUUUGGAAUUAUAUUAUUGUGGAAUGAUAUUAUUGUGACAUUAUCUGUGGAGGUUAAGAAUGUUUUAGGAGUUUUAACAGUCAUAUUUAGGUAAUAGUACCAAAACUCUGUAUUAACUGUAAAUCUUAACUCUGUAUGUUGUUUAAUUCUAGGUACGACAGGAACUGGAUGAAAAAAUCACUAGAGACCUUCAACAAGCCUUCCACUUGAGACUUGAAUGUGAAAACUUCCUGCUUACCAAAAUGUUGCGUACAAUGUUAUGCAGUUGCCUGGAAAAAGCCAAGCACAAAGAAACCCUUGGCUUAAGCUGAAGUUGCCCUUCACUAGAGUUCAUCUCAAGCACAAACAGCAAAGCAGCCACAAGAUAAGAUAAGCUUCAGCCAUCACUUCCCCUCCCAUGUACACCGAUGGCAUUCAGCACUAAACCGCACCAUACCCAUUCUUUGCUGUUGGUUCCUGAUUUUUGCUAUGAUUCUAUGAUUCAUGGCUUGUCUUGGUAGCUUAGGUGGUGCAGUCUUUUUUGGAAUAAACAAGAAGAUCAGUGACAAAAGAUAAUCUGUUUUUAGGAAACGAUUAUUCAGUACUUUUUUGGCAAAUAUCAAUUCAGUGCUUGCCGUACGUAGCAUAAAUCAUGCAGUAGAAUUUGAGGCCAGGUGUCCAAAGAGGAAAUGCACCUGUUCCAUGGUAAUUUCUUCCUCCAGAGUUACUGCUUUGCAGUGCCUGGUGCUGUGUAGUAGUAGUAGUGUGGCAAUAAAUCACUGGUUUGAACAUAAAAGGAAAGCAGAGACUUUGGGGGGCUGUUUAGCAUGGGAGUCGUUUGUGGAUUGCCUGAAGGUGUUCAGUGUGUAGCCUCCAGAAUGUCUUCCACUUGCUUUAGAAAUGCUGUUGACGGAUAAGCAAUUGUGGAAAAAAUGGGUUUCUUCCUUUGCACCUAGCCCUUCCGUUGUUAUGUUCCCUUGGAAAUUUUAAAGUCUCUGUCUGGAUGGCAGUCUCUUGUGUUGCCUGUCAUGUUCUUGCCUUGCCUUAUUUUGCCCUGUCUGCUGUAAAAGUAAUGCCAGGAAUCUUGUGUCUUUUCUCUCCAGCUACUGCUGAACUUGAAAGGGGAUCUGCUGGAUCUUCAAAAAAUCUUCACGUGGACCAGGAUCCCCUUUGCAGAGCAAUAGAGGAGUACCGUGAUGUUUUAACCAAAAAUUACCUGAUUUGAACGAAAUGCUACGAAAGGCUCUGGAAAUCAUUUGGUUUUCAUAAUUGACUGAUCUUGACUCUUGAGGUUGACAAAAUCAUCAAAUUUAUUUCUUAUUAUGGUCAAUGCAUUAGCGUUUGCUUUGUUCUGUUAAAUCAUUUUAGUCAAUGUGUUUGGAAUGUUUCCAGUGUUAUUUUAAUGUUUAGGACAUUAUUUGAUGGGCUUUCACCCUGCUGCUUCAGUCCUGAUGCAGUGACUGUUUCUGCUGAUAAAGUUUUAGAGGUGUUCAAGCUGUAGAAAAGGGCACUUUACAUUGUCAUCACUUUAUGCGAUGUAGGUUUAAAAUGACUGAGUACGUAGUAGUACUAAGAGUUGUUAUAUGGUCUUUUUGGUUUGUUUGUUUUGUAUCACAGAAUGGGUGAGUUUGGAAGGAACCUCUGGAGGUCAUCAGGUCCAGCCCCCUGCUGAAGGAGGGCCACCUAGAGGCAAUUGCCCACAUCUGAGUUGGCUUUUGAAUACCUCCAAGGAGGGAGACUCCAGAGGCUCCAUGGGCAGCCUGUGAUAGAGCUCAGUCACGCACACAGUACACUUGAAUACCAUGAGAGGCAAUGGGCACAAACUCAGUACCUUUUCACAGUAUUGGUGUUGAUUUCUGUAUUAAAAAUUGCUGCAGUUUCAGACAUUUGCAGCUCUUGCAUCAAAACCUAUGGUGCACCCAAAACAUUUCUAAUCGGAGGGAAAAAAAUGAAUGUUAGUGCAUCAACUUUAAGUUUCCUCAGUACUCUCCAGAACUUCUGUGAUAGGAUAGGCAGUCUUUUUGUUGCUGCUAACAGCUGAUGAUACGGUGUCUGUAACCCAGCUGUUAGCCCAGAUGUGGUGGGACAUUGUGUCAACCUUACAAGCAGCUUUACUUAUUUCAGGGAACUACCAGUUGUUAAUGAAGAUCUGAGUUGUCAUUUCCCAUCCUGAAAAGUCACCAGCAAUCUGAAGACUAUAGAACAAAGUCCCAGUUCUGGAAAAGAUGGAUGUAAGAAUGAUUGUACUGAGAUGUAGAAGACUGGAAAAAUUUGGGGGAGUUUACUGACUAAUUCAAGGAUUUAACAGUCAGCGAGGAAAGCAUUAAAUGCUGCUGUGACAUUCUUCCUUUUUAUAUGAAUACAUUUUUGUGAAGCUAACACACUGUGUAUAAUUCAACUUGAUAUUUAAUAAACUUUGCAAUCCA